ACAUACGUCGUGCUCGUACGAGCAGAAGCCUUCACCGAUGGUGAUACCAACACGGAUAAACCUUGAAGGAGAGGGCAAGACGCGGGGAGGUUUUAGUGAGUAAGAAUCUCACACUACCCAGAGUUAAUCGCCUGGGUGUCUAUGAAGAUUUCCUCCUCGACAAAA
rfam:Anopheles dirus strain WRAIR2 unplaced genomic scaffold supercont1.128, whole genome shotgun sequence.